rnacentral:rRNA from 1 species
UACGUAGGGGGCGAGCGUUGUCCGGAUUUAUUGGGCGUAAAAGAGCGUGUGAGCGGUUCGGUAAGUCUGUCGUGAAAUCCUGAGGCUCAACCUCGGGCGUGCGAUGGAUACUGCCGGGCUAGAGGGUGGUAGAGGCGAGUGGAAUUCCCGGUGUAGCGGUGAAAUGCGCAGAUAUCGGGAGGAACACCAGUAGCGAAGGCGGCUCGCUGGGCCACACCUGACGCUGAGACGCGAAAGCUAGGGGAGCGAACAGG